GACGAACGCUGGCGGCGUGCUUAACACAUGCAAGUCGAACGGAAAGGCCCUGCUUUUGUGGGGUGCUCGAGUGGCGAACGGGUGAGUAACACGUGAGUAACCUGCCCUUGACUUUGGGAUAACUUCAGGAAACUGGGGCUAAUACCGGAUAGGAGCUCCUGCUGCAUGGUGGGGGUUGGAAAGUUUCGGCGGUUGGGGAUGGACUCGCGGCUUAUCAGCUUGUUGGUGGGGUAGUGGCUUACCAAGGCUUUGACGGGUAGCCGGCCUGAGAGGGUGACCGGCCACAUUGGGACUGAGAGACGGCGCAGACGCCUACGGGAGGCAGCAGUGGGGAAUAUUGCACAAUGGGCGGAAGCCUGAUGCAGCAACGCCGCGUGCGGGAUGACGGCCUUCGGGUUGAAAACCGCUUUGGCCUGUGACGAAGCGUGAGUGACGGUAAUGGGUAAAGAAGCACCGGCUAACUACGUG
rnacentral:rRNA from 1 species